AUGGACUCAGCCACCAUUGGAGCGAGCAACCCUUCACCGCGAUCAGAGCCGCCGUGGCUCCACCCUAGCUCCGCCGCUCUCAGUAUUUGAUAGGUAACCUCGUCUUCCUUUUCUUAGUCGAAGCCUCUGUACUGAACUGGAUUAUCAGCUGUUUUGGUAUCUAUGAGGUGUGGAGUACUGUGUCUUCGUCGAUUUUGGGGCAGAUGCAUGAGAUUUGGGGAUCUACAACAACAAGUUUUGGAGAGGAAGAGAGCUGCUGAUUUGGUCAUGCAGGGAAUUAAUCAAGGUGUUGAAAUGGUUGUUGUGGGGAAUGGUGGUAAAGAGGAAUUGAAGUUCGGGUUGUAACAGAAUUGAUUUCCCUUGCAAAAUGCAUCUCAUACAUGUCCAGGACUUCAGACCAAAAUGACAUGUCCUGGACUUGUGAAGACCAGGUUAGAUGAUUCAUAUGUACAUGUUGGUGUUCAAGAUGGCUUUGUCUGGGAUUGGGUUGAUCAUGUCAGGGCUUACUGAAAGAUAGUGCUGAUGGCACUAAACUCUAGGCAUAUGGUGGUGACUUUGGUGAUGUUCCUAAUGAUUUAAACUUCUGUCUGAAUGGUCUUGUGUGGCCUGAUCAAACUCCUCAUCCUGCAAUGCAUGAAGUGAAGUAUGUGUACCAGCAAAUCAAGGUUUCAUUUAGUGAAGGAACACUAAAGGUUACAAACACUCACUUUUAUGAAACAACAAGAGCAUUGGAAUUCUACUAGGCCGCUCAUGGAGAUAGAUAUGAACUUGGAUCUGGAAAUUUAUCCCUUCCCUUGAUUGAACCCUAGAAGACUUAUCAUAUUGAGUCGCAGUCAGCUCCGUGGCAUACUCUAUGGGCUUCAUCAUCAGCAAAGGAGUUUUUCUUAACCAUAACUGCUAAGCUUUUGCAUUCUGCAUGCUAGGUUGAAGCUGGUCAUGUCAUCUCAUCUACACAAGUCCAGUUGCCUAUUAAAAGAGAAUUUGUUCCUCAUGUCAUCAAGACUAAAGAUGCUACAUUCCUUAGGGAAACUGUUGGAGAUACACUUAAAGUCUGCCAACAGAAUGCCUGGGAGAUAAUACUGAAUGUUAAAAUGGGUACAGUUGAAGGCUGGAAGGUAUUCUCUCCACCACUGUUCCUUUUGUUUAUUUUUAUUGU